UACGUAGGGGGCAAGCGUUGUCCGGAUUUAUUGGGCGUAAAGAGCUUGUAGGCGGUUUGUCGCGUCUGCCGUGAAAAUUCGAGGCUCAACCUCGAACUUGCGGUGGGUACGGGCAGACUAGAGUGUGGUAGGGGGAGACUGGAAUUCCUGGUGUAGCGGUGAAAUGCGCAGAUAUCAGGAGGAACACCGAUGGCGAAGGCAGGUCUCUGGGCCACUACUGACGCUGAGAAGCGAAAGCAUGGGGGAGCGAACAGG
rnacentral:rRNA from 1 species